GAAUAAUAGGAUGAGUACUCACUUGCUUGGAUGGGUGAGAGGAGGGUGGUGUUGUCACCAAAUGAGAUAUGAUGAGCAGGAGGAGAACGUGUAAACACGAAUCAGAGUGCUCUGUACACGGCAGGUCCUCCUCUAGAUCCUGAUCGAGGCCAAGAUCUGAAGGAAGUGUCCAUAAGGAAUGAUUAACCAUCGUUAGGUUGCUAAACCACUCCAGGACUUUUAACUAGAUGAAGAAAAGAAUAUUUGCCAGCUCUCGUCUCCGAGAACAUUCUUGCCUGUGUUUGGAAGGAAAUACUCUGAUAAACUGCAUGGAGUGUGAGGAAGAAUUGAAUAAAAGGAAGAACUUUCUUGAAUUUCCAACGGUAACUGAAUUUGGGGGCCUUGGUAGAAGGGGUGGUGGAGAAGAGCAAUGGCCCAUAGUGGUGAAGGAGGAAAUGCGAUAUGGGAAAAUACAAAGAAGAAUGAGCAAAAUGGAAAAAUAUUGUUGUUUUUAAGCAAUUUUUAAGAAUUGGUGAAAUUUUCUCUGAGUACCAUACACGCGCACGUACGCAUGCACGCACGCAUGCACUGCACAACUGAACAAUCCAGUGGUUUCCAUUAAAACUAGAAGUUAGAACCAUAGCUAAUGUGCGAUGUAAGCACAUAGGGCUAAUGGAUUCCAUAGUCAUCAACCACCCUCCUGCUUUGGAUCACAGACCAGGGGGGCAUGGUUUAAAUAUGUGAAAUAAAUGCAGAGAUUACAUAAUGCCGCUUUAAAUUGUAGUUCAUUUUAAACAGACCACUGUUAUUUACUAAAAUCUCGUGUAUGUGGGGGAGUGUGUGUGUGUCUGUGUGUGUGUGUGUGUGUGUGCGUCUGAGGGGCAUGUGGUUUAAGGAAGCUUGAUUUAUGUGAUCUGGG
rnacentral:lncRNA from 1 species